rnacentral:lncRNA from 1 species
CACUUUGAUGAGCCGGAAUUAGAACUCGUUCUCCGACCGGGCUUCUCUGAAGAGGCCUGGUCUUGGCUGCGGACCCCAGGUCCUUGCUUGGGACACAGCCCCUGGCCCCACUUACGGGGACACUCGGGGCCCCUGCUGGCGGGUGCCCAGGCUGCUUCGGUGCAGGAGCCCCGGCCCCUGCCUCCCCUGGUUCCCUCAGUGACCGCAAUAGGAGUCAGAAGAGAGGGCGGACUCCCAGAAACAACGCAGGCGGCCCGCAGCACGCCGCGGUGGGGCUGCUGCCACGACGGGGACCUUUGUCCAGGGCACCCGGGCGGCUCAUGGAGCAUCUCCAGUGUGGUUCCCCGGGUCUCCCGGGCCAGCUGUGAAGACGCUGCAACUCGCUCGCCGGGGUCCUGGGCACUUGCCGACCGACGCAUGCGGCCACCCUGCUGUGUUGGACACUGUCGCCAGUGGGAAUAGAACCGUGGAUGCCACGGUGCGGCUGGACCCCGCCCUGAGCUGCGCCGAGGGACUGGUCAGAGUGAGGACCGAGGAGCUGAUGGAGGGAGCUGGGACGAGAAGGGCGGGGUGGCUGGACAGGGCAGGGCCUCACUGGAGACACAGGGGCCAGAGGCCGUCCCGGGCAGCGCAGACCGGGGCACCUCAGAGGCAGGCCCAGUGCGGCCGAAGCCGCCGGGUCCAGAGCUGCAGCCUUCGUGCUCCAGGGGCAGUGCCUGGCGAGGACCACAGUGCCCAUAGGUCUGCGGUUGAGAAGGGGGCCCGACGCCCAGCUGGCAGCAGAGGAGAAGCAGCACGUAGAUGAAGCCAGUUUAAAGCGUGAGUUCCACUCCUUGUGAGCUUCGUGGUCCACAGACUGGGAGAGCCUUCCUGCGCUUGGACACAGCCUGACUUGUGGCUUGGAGGUGGUCCUUCUAUUGACCUCGCACCCUUGAGAUCUAAGAUUGUGCUGUCAGUAAUGCAACGUGUGUGUGUGUGUGCAUGAAUCUAUGUGCACACACACAUGCUCUGUCAGAAGAGGACGCACAGGGUUGAGCUCUCUUGAGGCACUUGUAGAUUGACGUGCGGGUAAUGAGCCGGGCAGCCAGGUGAGACCAUAAGACAACACUGUGUGAGAGAAACACAAGCUCGGCAUAAGUGGCAUCCUCCCCGUGUGGGAGGGAGCUCUGCGGCCACGUCUGCACGCAACCUCAUGAGGCACUUGACCUCUGCGGCCUCUCAGCUCCUGGGAAGAGCCCUCAGCAUCUCCAGGCAGAGGCUCAGCAUGGCACGGUGUUUGGGCCAGACUGUCCACCUGUGGAGCCAGCAUCCAUCAUUUCUCCAGAGCUUUUCCCUGCCUGGAGUCCCCGCCAGUGGCUCAGAUAUCUCACACUAACAGAAAGCGUCUGUCUUCACUCUCUUUCAGAGGAGAAGCAGCACGUAGAUGAAGCCAGUUUAAAGCGUGAGUUCCACUCCUUGUGAGCUUCGUGGUCCACAGACUGGGAGAGCCUUCCUGCGCUUGGACACAGCCUGACUUGUGGCUUGGAGGUGGUCCUUCUAUUGACCUCGCACCCUUGAGAUCUAAGAUUGUGCUGUCAGUAAUGCAACGUGUGUGUGUGUGUGCAUGAAUCUAUGUGCACACACACAUGCUCUGUCAGAAGAGGACGCACAGGGUUGAGCUCUCUUGAGGCACUUGUAGAUUGACGUACCGGGUAAUGAGCCGGGCAGCCAGGUGAGACCAUAAGACAACACUGUGUGAGAGAAACACAAGCCGCAUUGCCCGGGAGCGGAGGGAGGUCCGCCUGUGUGUCUGCAAGGGUUAGGGUCACUUUAUAUUUGUGUUGGAGGAAACGUUCAACUCGGGUACGGACGACAGAGGCAGCCAGACCAGGCUUGAUUUGCUAGGAUGAAUCAAGAGAAAGAUGAUAGGAUCAGACAGACAUGCUUUUCUCUGGCGGGUGCAGGUUUUCCGCUGGGCAAUGCGUGAUCAAUCAACGCUUGUCCGAGAAGGAUGCAUCCUUUCUGUUGUCAUUAAAGCCACAGUUACAUGCUCACCUGGGCAAGAAGUGGGGCCAGUCCACUGCUUUUCCAUCUGAGCUUGAUGUCAGGGUUUGUGUCUCAAGUCCAAAGUCCGGUUUAGCCCUCCCUGCAUUCUUCUGUCCUGUUCUGAUGACUGCGUCGUCUUGGCGCAUUCGUUGUAGUCAGAAUCAAAAGGCAAACAGUAGACUUGCGUGAAUAAAAGCCACUGUGGAGCUAUGGAUGAACUCCCAGAGUGAAGUCUGGUGGAGUGUACGAUGCAGGCAUUGAGAAACGCUCCACAGUUCCUCUCCCUGAGGGCCUGCCCAGCCCCGCGUGUACCUGCCCAGGAACAGCAGUUAUGCAGGCUGGCCGUUUGGGAUCCCAAAGUGUGCAUUUGAAACCCAAAUUCAUGCCCCUCGUGUUUAUUUGGGUCGUCAUGAUUUUCAUGUGGUACAUAUGUCUGGAGCACUUCAUAUGCCCACACAUCCCAGACUCUCAAUCACAGCUCUGUAAUUUUUAAAAGGAGGCAAACUCUACAGGAAAGAGAAGCAUGUAAAUAUGUACCAAUGCUUAUGAAGUCAUUAUUAUCUGUAUGUAAAAAGGAUGUGCGUUGGAAAGGGAAAAUGGCUCAAUGAAUGUUUUAAGUAAUCCAUGUACCAAACUGCAUUUUGAAACUGCAUGUUCCCCAAAGCACACAUUGAGUUGAAAUGCCAAGUUUUCUCUUCAGAUACCAUUGUUUCUGUUCAUGUAUCAUAGGCACCUUCUGUUCAUCUGCCUACAAAAUCCAGCAUUUUAGGGUUGGGCUUUUGGAAAAAGAAAAAAGAAAGAGAAGAAAGAGACAAAUAUGCGUAUUUGUCACUAUUUCCUGCCAAUCCACUGAGCAUCUGAAGAAGUCAAGUAUUUUAAAAUAAUAUGCAUUCUCUAAAUACUAGAAUGUACCUUUUAUUCAAAACCAGUGGACUGGAUUGAAUUGAAUAUUUGGGCUCACUAGCUCUUCAAAUAGAGGAAGUGUCACAAAGAGGUUGAAACACAGAAAUGUUUACUGUGUAACUGAGAUGUGUGCAGCCCAACAGUUAUCACCAUGGCCAUGUGCACAAUAUCCAGAAACACACACACGUGCUUUCGUUUGUGCAAACCAGAAUCCACGUGCGCCGCAGCUUCCUUGCUGACACAGUGUGUGUACCUCGUUCCCGUGGUCUCAAGCUCCAGUUGCUGAAGGACUGUGGCUUUUCCCUAAAGUGCUCAGCCCUCGAGGAACCUGUAGCCUUCAGGACACCCUGAGUGCCUUACGCGGCUGUGAACACCAGUGCCGGCAGUCAGGAAGGAGGGCGUGCCGGGAGUGGGUUUGGAGGUGUUGGACAUUAAUCUACGCUGACCAUCACUGCGUCAUUGACCUUAAGAUGGACUGUAUGUUUUAGCACAGUGAUGGAUUUACGUUUAGGCUCAGGAAAAUCAAGCUGUACAUAUAGGUAUCAAAUCAUAUAUUUGUUUACUGUGUAUUUUUUAAAAGCUUUAUUGUAAAUUUAUGCAAACACGAAUGAGGACUUGUUUUCUCACGGCGAUGUGCCAAGCAGUGUUUGUGUCCCCUGAAGCAGUUCCUUAAUAACCACACUCUAAACACGUGAUACUCUGUUUAGUGCUAAACAGUAUUCAGAGCCCUAAAAUAGGUUUGUAUGGUGAUUAACUACAGAAUUUUACACAUAUUUUUGUAUUGUGAUUCCUAUGAUAUAUACCAGAGAAUUUUUACUCAUUUGUAAAUUAUUGUACAGUUUUUAAUAAAGAUUGUUUUAAAUCUUAGAAUAUCAAAGUUCUCCACCUCACAAAGUAUUAAAGUCUGGACUUAUCGGCUACAGUAGCCACUUCUGUGUUCUGUGUCCACUCUCUGAAUGAUAGUGCGUCUUCCCACACCAGAAAGGAGAGCUGGGCCUUCUGCGCAUUGGGAAGGGGGACCCAGGCGUCUCACAUACAGCCCCGUCCUAAGUUAUGGGGGGGGGCUCAUCUGGAGGACAGGCUCUGAGGUCACCUGGGGUCAACUACGGGGAGGCCUGCUCCUGGGCUGUUUGUCAAAUGAGAACCAAGGGAGAAGUCAAGUCCCUGAGAAUGGUGAAUUUCUGUGAAUGAAUAAGAACAUGUUUCAGUGUCAGGGACCCCACAGAGGUGAGCACAGGCUGUUGGAUCUCUUUGGGAAAGUGGGAACCCAAGGUGGGGCUAAGAUGAGGGGCAGGAAGUGUUGAUUGGGCUCUGCAGGGUUCUUAUGCCUCCUGUUGUCCCAGCUUAUGCUUUGAAAUUCCAGCUGUGGCUGUUUUAACAGAAGCAAAGACUAGGAUGUAUUUUCCUUACAAACCAAUCCCCGCGGGGCUUGACUUAGUGACAGCACUGUCCUGGGAGGCUGGGCAGGCUGGGAGUCCUCCUGCCAUGUCCCACCCAAACUCGGAACUUGCUUUUUAAAAAAUAAGUCUUUAUCUAUUUGGCUACGUUGUGUCUUAGUUGCGUCACAGGGGCCUGGUUGCUCUGCAGCACAUGGGGUCUCAGUUUCCCUACCAGGGACGGAACUGUGUCCCCCGCCUUGCAAGGCAGAUUCGCAACCACCGGAGCACCAGGGAAACACCCGAAGUCUGUUUUUCCAGGCAGUCGGAUCAGCUUCCGUGGUCGCAUCAUCCCCCCACCACCCCUGCUCUGUCCUUCCAACUUGCCAAACGUUUGAGUCAGAGCCUCCUUGCCUGACUUGGGAUCGCCCACAGGGCCUGGAAAUGUGGCUGAAGUUUCGAAAAACUGUUUUUUUUUUUUUUCCGUGCCUCCUCUCCUCAGCUCCUUCUGCAGGUUGAAAGGGAGGUCAGAAGCGGCUUUGCUUGGGCAGAAAGCGCGCCCUCAGCCCGGACCCGGAGCUUUCAGCACCCGCCACGUGGACAGCGCCGGCUCCGCCCGGGCGCCGGGCAAGGCUUGAGGGUGGGGGGUGGGGGUGGGGGGUGGAGGGCGGGCAGAGGGAAAGGGGCGGGGGGAGCGCCGGGCCCGGGUCCGCCCCGUCUACGCGCAGAGCUCAAACCCCGCCACUGGAGGCUCCGGGACCGGCC